CCUACGGGCGGCUGCAGUGGGGAAUAUUGGACAAUGGGGGGAACCCUGAUCCAGCCAUGCCGCGUGUGUGAAGAAGGCCCUCGGGUUGUAAAGCACUUUCAGUGAGGAAGAACGCCUGGUGGUUAAUACCCAUCAGGAAAGACAGCACUCACAGAAGAAGCACCGGCUAACUCCGUGCCAGCAGCCGCGGUAAUACGGAGGGUGCGAGCGUUAAUCGGAAUUACUGGGCGUAAAGCGCGCGUAGGUGGCUUGGUAAGCCGGUUGUGAAAGCCCCGGGCUCAACCUGGGAACGGCAUCCGGAACUGUCAAGCUAGAGUGCAGGAGAGGAAGGUAGAAUUCCCGGUGUAGCGGUGAAAUGCGUAGAGAUCGGGAGGAAUACCAGUGGCGAAGGCGGCCUUCUGGACUGACACUGACACUGAGGUGCGAAAGCGUGGGUAGCAAACAGGAUUAGAUACCCCAGUAGUC
rnacentral:rRNA from 1 species